AGCCACUCAAGCUUGGCUUGGUGUUGGGGCUCGCGGUCUCGCGGCUCCUAAAUCUAGUGGCGGUGCCGGUAGGCUCUAAGCGUAGUAAAUCUCCUCGCUACAGAGUCCUCUCGGUCUCCUGCCAUAACCCCCAUAUUCUAUA
rnacentral:misc_RNA from 1 species